CCUACGGGAGGCAGCAGUGGGGAAUAUUGCACAAUGGGGGAAACCCUGAUGCAGCGACGCCGCGUGAGUGAAGAAGUAUUUCGGUAUGUAAAGCUCUAUCAGCAGGGAAGAAAAUGUCAGUACCUGACCAAGAAGCGCCGGCUAACUACGUGCCAGCAGCCGCGGUAAUACGUAGGGGGCAAGCGUUCUCCGGAUUUACUGGGUGGAAAGGGAGCGUAGCCGGUUAUGUAAGUCUGGUGUGAAAGCCCGGGGGACAACCCCGGGACUACUUUGGAAACUGUGUAACUGGAGUAUAAGAGGGGCAGGCGGAAAUCAGGGUGUAGGGGUGAAGUGGGUAGAUAUCAGGAGGAACACCAGCGGCGAAGGC
rnacentral:rRNA from 1 species